rnacentral:tRNA from 1 species
GUUGCUUUAGCUUAGCGGUAAAGCAUCCGUUUUGUAAUCGGAAGAUCAUAGGUUCAAUUCCUAUAGGUAACA